rnacentral:rRNA from 1 species
AUGGCGCGAGGCAACCUCGUUCGUGGGCUACCUCACAUCGAGCAUGCCGAUGAGAUGUGCGGUGCGUUUCUUGCCGGGAAGCAACGGCGCCUGCCCUUCCCCAAAAAGGCACGCUCUCGGGCGCAGAAACCCAUGGAGCUUGUCCAUAGGGACCUCUGUGGCCCAAUCACCCCGCCAACGCAUGGAGGGCGUCGCUACAUCCUGCUGCUCGUCGACGACUACAACAGGUUCAUGUGGGUGUUGCUCCUUGCCUCCAAGGAUGAGGAGGAGCGAGCCAUCGUCAAGCAGCAAGCGGCAGCAGAGGUCGAGUGUGGCCACAAGCUACGCGUGAUGUGCACGGACCGUGGCGGCGAGUUCACGUCGGCCACGUUCUACAAACACCGCGGCAAGAAAGGGGUGCAACGUCACCUCACAGCCCCUUACUCGCCACAGCAGAAUGGCGUCGUCGAGCAGAGAAACCAGACUGUGCUCGGGAUGGCACGCUGCAUGCUCAAGGCAAAGCAGGUGCCGAGCACGUAUUGGGGGGAGGCCGUGCUCACGGCCGUCUUCAUCCUCAACCGCUCCUUCACAAGGAGCGUCGAUGGCAAGACGCCUUACGAGGCGUGGUAUGGGAGGAAGCCCGAUGUACGCUUCCUCCGUACCUUUGGUUGCGUCGGGCAUGUCAAGACGGCGCGCCCACAGCUGAAGAAGCUCGAUGACAGGAGCACCCCAAUGGUGUUCAUGGGCUAUGAGACGGGCUCUAAGGCGUACAAGAUGUACAACCCCAUCUCCAAGCGUGUGCAUGUCUCGCGCGACGUCAUCUUCGACGAAGACGCGCGAUGGACUUGGGAGGCGUCGAGGGAAGCCCCGGCAAGCAGCUCCUUCACUGUGGAGUACCCGAUGUACUCUACAACCCCAGGAAGUGCCACCCUGGGAAGCUCGGGAGGUGUAGAUCCGGGAACAGCAACCCCAAGAACAACGUCCCUGGGUUUGGUGUCGCCGGACACCAUGACGUCAAGCAAAGUGGGUCCCGGGAGGCAGUUCGCAACCCCGCCAACGGCGAGGUCGGAGCUGUACGACGCCGACGAUAGCAUUGGCGCGCCCCAUAGGUUUCGGCGCAUGGGGGAUCUCCUCGGCGAGGCUUCGGCAACACCGCAACAGCCCGAGGAUGAGGACGUUGAUGAUGACGAGGUCCUGCAUCUGAUGGCCGACAAGGAGCCAACCACGUUCGCGGAGGCCGAGCAAGAGGAUUGCUGGCGCCAAGCGAUGCUGGACGAGCUGUCUUCGAUCAACGACAACGCCACUUGGACACUCACCACACUGCCUGCUGGGCACCGAGCCAUCGGGCUCAAGUGGUUGUUCAAGGUGAAGAAGGAUGAGCACGGCACCAUUGUCAAGCACAAGGCGCGCCUCGUCGCCAAGGGCUACGUGCAGCGUGAGGGAGUGGACUUCGAGGAAGUCUUCGCUCCGGUGGCAAGGUUGGAGUCCGUGUGGCUCAUCCUUGUUGUGGCCGCUAACCGCGGGUGGGAGGUACACCACAUGGAUGUCAAGUCGGUGUUUCUCAACGGCGAGCUUGACAAGGAGGUGUACGUCUCCCAGCCACCCGGGUUCGUUGCCAACGGUCAUGAGCAGGGCGUGUAUCGACUACACAAGGCCCUGUACGGUCUCCGGCAAGCCCCAAGGGCGUGGAACGCCAAGCUCGAUGCAAGCCUCACAUCCCUUGGGUUCUCACGCAGCGCUUCUGAGCACGGUGUGUACUCGCGUGGCACCGCGAACACACUACUCAUCAUCGGCAUCUAUGUCGAUGACCUGGUCAUCGCCGGGGCAGAGCCUGAAGAGGUCCAAUGCUUCAACGAAGAGAUGCAUCGUCUCUUCAGCAUGAGCGGCCUUGGGCUGCUCCGGUACUACCUCGGGCUGGAGGUGAACCAGGAGGGUGGUCGAAUCACGAUCAUGCAGACGGACUACGCCACCAAGAUGCUCGAGCGAGCAGGCAUGAAGGACUGCCAUGUCGUGCACGCUCCAAUGGAGGCAUGGCUGAAGCUCAGUAAGGAGAGCUCCGAGAAGGCGGUGGAUGCUACACUCUACUGUAGCAUCGUCGGGAGUCUCAGGUACCUCGUGCACACACGACCGGACAUCACGUUCGUUGUCGGAUACCUGAGUAGGUUCAUGGAAGCCCCAGCAAGCGAUCAUCUCGCUGCCGUCAAGCAUCUGCUCCGGUACAUCGCGGGUACGCUCACACAUGGAUGCGUGUAUCAUCGUGGCGACGGCGAGAGCUUGGUCGGGUACAACGACUCCGACCACGCUGGUGACAUGGACUCCCGAAAGAGCACCUCGGGCAUAUUAUUCCUUCUCGGAAAUAGUCCGGUCAGCUGGCAAUCGGUGAGGCAGAAGGUUGUCGCCGUAUCUUCGUGCGAGGCGGAGUACAUCGCGGCAGCUACAGUGGCCUGUCAAGGCAUUUGGCUUGCUCGCCUUCUCGGCGAGAUGCUGAAUCAGGACACUGCCCCUACGCUCAUCUUCGUCGACAACAAGUCGGCGAUUUCCCUCUGCAAGAAUCCAGUGCUUCAUGACCGCAGCAAACACAUCGAUCUCCGCUAUCACUCCAUAUGUGACUGCGUCGAGAAGGGCAUGGUGACCGUGGAGUUCAUCGGGACUAGUGAGCAGAAGGCGGACAUCCUGACCAAGUCACUUGGUCGUGUCCGGUUCCAGGAUCUACGGGACAAGGUUGGGAUCAUCGACACCAAGCUCCUUCGAUAA